UACAGAGGGUGCAAGCGUUAAUCGGAAUUACUGGGCGUAAAGCGUGCGUAGCCGGUUACAUAAGUCGGGUGUGAAAGCCCCGGGCUCAACCUGGGAAUUGCAUUCGAGACUGCGUAGCUAGGGUGCGGAAGAGGGAAGCGGAAUUUCCGGUGUAGCGGUGAAAUGCGUAGAUAUCGGAAGGAACACCAGUGGCGAAAGCGGCUUCCUGGUCCAGCACCGACGUUCAGGCACGAAAGCGUGGGGAGCAAACAGG
rnacentral:rRNA from 1 species